ACAGGUGUGAGCCACUGGCACCCGGCUCAUCUUUGCUUUCUGACAGCAAAAAGUUAUUUCAGACCUAUCAUGGGUGUUUUGUUUUGUUUUGAAUUUUUGUUUUUUUGACUCCAGAUAUGGACUUAACUGCACUCCAAGGAGUUUAUGUUGCUCUUCAUGAAAAUUAGUAUUAUAGACAAAAUUGAAGCUGGGAAUCAGCUACUUUUGUCUCUCAUUUUCACUGUUCUCUUUUUUUUUUAGAUGGAGUCUCACCCUGUCCCCCAGGCUGGAGUGCAAUGGUGCGAUCUCGGCUCACUGCAACCUCUGCCUCCUGGGUUCAAGCGAUUCUCCUGCCUCAGCCUCCCAAGUAGCUGGGAGUACAGGCGCUGCGUCACCAUGCCUGGCUAAUUUUUUGUAUCUUUAGUAGAGAUGGGGUUUCACCAUGUUGGCCGGGCUGGUCUCGAAUCCCUGACCUUGUGAUCUGCCCGCCUUGGCCUCCCAAAGUGCUGGGAUUACAGGCAUGAGCCACCACGCCCGGCCACUGUUCUCUUUUUUUAAUGAUGGUGUAGCUGUCUACCCUGUGGAGAUAUAUUGAUCUUCAAAAUCACCGUGAUAGUACAGUUAUUAUGGAAAACAUUAUUAAAUUCAAAAUAGAAUUCCCAAACGAUAUAGCAACCCCACUGCUGGGGAUAUAUCUAAAGGAAAUGAAAUCCGUAUCCAGAAGAGAGAUCUGCACCAUGUUCACUGCAGCACCAUUUACAAUAACCAAGACAUGGAGUUAACCUAAGUAUCCAUUGUCGGAUGAAUGAGUAAAGAAAAUAUGGUACAUAUGUACAAUGAAAUACUAUUCCGGCCUUAAAACAUAAUGAAAUUCCCUCAUUUGUGACAACAGGGGUGAAAUGAGAACAUUACGUUAAGUGAAAUUAGCCAGAUAUGGAAAGACAAACACUGCAUAAUCUCACUUCUAUGCGGAAUCUAAAGAGGUUGAUAUCAUAAAGCAGAGAGUGGAAUGAUGGUCACCAGGAUCUGGGGGCCAGAGACGCUGACUAAAGGGCACAGGAGGGGGCUAGGGCACGCUGACACAGGAGGAGUCAGUUCAAGACAUCUAAUGUACAACACAAUGACUAUAAUUCACAGCAAUGUAGUACAUGAAAAUUGCUAAGAGAGUAGAUUUUAGGUGUUCUCACCACAAAUAAAUAUGUGAGGUAAUGUCUAUGUUAAUUAGCUUGAUUUAGCCAUUCCCCAAUCCAUAUUCCCAACACAAUACAUAUUUCAAAACAGUACCUUGUACACCAUAUAUACAAUUUUUGUCAGUUUAAAGAAAUAAAGAAGAAAAAAAGUCACCAUGAUCAUUGGUAGUCCUUCCAUGAUAAUGCUGAUGCCUCAUCCUCAAGUGAGGACAUUUGUCUCAGUCACUUCAAGCUGCUAUGACAAAACACCAGAGACUGAGCAAUUUGUAGACAAUAGAAUUUUUGAUCACAGUCUGGAGGCUGAAAGUUCAAGAUGAAGGUGUCAGCAGGGCUGGGGUCUGGUGAGGGUCCUCUUCUGGGCUGUAGAGUGCAGUCUUGUGGUUGCAACCUCAUGUGAUGGAAGGGGUGAGGCAGCUCUCUGGAGUCCAUUUUACAGUGGCCCUAAUCCCAUCAGUGAGGGCUCCACCUUGAUGACCUAAUUAUCUCCCCAAGGCCCCACCUCCUAUGCCAUCCUCACAUUGAGGGUUGGGGCUUCCACAGAUGAGUUUGGGCUGGGGACACAAAUGUUACCCGAAAGGGGUCCCAGUCCAAACCCCAAAAAAGGGUUCUUGGAUCUGGUGCAAGAAAGAAUUUGAGGCAAAUCCAUAAAGUGAAAGCAAGUUUAUUAAGAAAGUAAAGGAAUAAAAAAUGACUAAUCCAUAGGCAGAGCAGUGGCAUGGUGCGCUGGUUGCCCAUUUUUAUGUUUAUUUCUUGAUUAUAUGCUAAAUAAGGUGGGGAUUAUUCAUGAGUCUCCCAGGAAAGGUGUGGGCAAUUCCCAGAGCUGAGGGUUUCUCCUCUUUUUAGACCAUAUAGGGUAACUUCUGGAUGUUGCCAUGGCAUUUGUAAACUGUCAUAGCACUGGUGGGAGUGUAGUGGUGAGGAUGACCAGAGGUCACUCUCAUCGCCAUCUUGGUUUUGGUGGGUUUGGGGCAGCUUGUUUACUGCAACCUGUUUUAUGAGCAGCGUCUUUAUGACCUGUAUCUUGUGCUAACCUCCUGUCUCAUCCUGUGACUUAGAAUGCCUUAACCUCCUUAAUCUCCUGGGAAUGCAGCCCAGCAGGUCUCAGCCUUAUUUUACCCAGCCCCUAUUCAAGAUGGAGUUGCUCUGGUUCACACGUCUCUGACACAAACAUUUAAGCCAAAGCAACAUUGUGGAAAGAAAGGAAAGACAUUUCUGAAAACAAAUGUGUGGUUCUGCCUGAUGGUUCUGGUGAAUCUUCCGCACUUGCUAUGACAAGAAAUUCAAGGAAAAUAAUAGGUGAGAGUUGUUUUGUGAAAAAUGCUGCAACUUUGGCAUUGUUGCUACUGCAAUUUGGGCCCAGGGUCUUGCAGGUUGGGGUUUCACCCUCCUCAUUUCACAUAAACCCGGGGCCAGCCUUCACUGGAUGCUAAUUGGCAUAUCUACAAAUAGGCCAGCCGGUCUGUGUCUCCUGAUUUAGAGACUGUAAACUAAAAAUAAAAUCCUAAGCACCCCUAACCAACUGCACAGACACUCUGUUGGUAAAAGGGACCCCAUAGAACCUUAAAAACUGAGUUUCUGGCCAUGAUAGGGUGGGAGUCAGACACAUCUCAUUAUACCCCUUUCUGUUGAGGUUUAGACACAACUGACAGCAUUCAUGUUAACAUAGAGACAGUCCAGGUGAGGUUAAGAGAAUUUUUUAAAAAAACACAGACACAGGAUGGAGUCUUUGUGGCAAUAAGGUGACAAAUUAUAAACAAGACCUAAGGGUUAAGUCAGCACCCUACACUUAAAGAAUAAACCAUGUUUUCACUGCUGCAAGGGUUUUCUUUUACUCCAGCAGCUAACCAAGCACUGGCCUCCAGCUAAGCAACAUUAAGACAAUUGCAGCUUACCCAGCUCACAGAGGCUGACUCUCCGACCCCCUGCUCCACCAGCCAUGAUGGCAGCAUUCACUGGACAAGACACUGACUUCAAGAGCUUUCUGCUGAUGAGAGACCACGACCUUGGGCUAGUCCUGGCCAGUUUACAGACGCUGUGCACUUGAGCACCUUUGAGUCCUGGAAAGACCUAAUUGGAAUACAUUUACAUGUGAAGCCUCCACCUCAAGAUUCAGAAAUCCCUGUGCCAACUAGAACCCUUUGAAACUAACCCUGACUAUCAUCAACAAGGAAUGUGGCUGCUUCCAUAGCAUAUUUGAAGUACAGAACUCAAGAAAAUGCUUCCUAUUGAUGGAAUUUGUUAGACCACCACACUUCCUGGGAAUUCAGUUUUCUUCCAUUAAAUUCAUCAGACUCA